rnacentral:rRNA from 1 species
AUUGAACGCUGGCGGCAGGCCUAACACAUGCAAGUCGAACGAGUGGCGGACGGGUGAGUAAUGUCUGGGAAACUGCCUGAUGGAGGGGGAUAACUACUGGAAACGGUAGCUAAUACCGCAUACCACCCGUUCUGCCCAGAUGGGAUGAGCUGCUUGCUGGGGUAACGGCUCACCAAGGCGACGCUCCCUAGCUGGUCUGAGAGGAUGACCGGCCACACUGGAACUGAGACACGGCCCAGACUCCUACGGGAGGCAGCAGUGGGAAAUAUUGCACAAUGGGCGCAAGCCUGAUGCAGCCAUGCCGCGUGUAUGAAGAAGGCCUUCGGGUUGUAAAGUACUUUCGGCGGGGAGGCGUUACCCACAGAAGAAGCACCGGCUAACUCCGUGCCAGCAGCCGCGGUAAUUC